GAUGAACGCUGGCGGCGUGCCUAAUACAUGCAAGUCGAGCGAACAGAUAAGGAGCUUGCUCCUUUGACGUUAGCGGCGGACGGGUGAGUAACACGUGGGUAACCUACCUAUAAGACUGGGAUAACUUCGGGAAACCGGAGCUAAUACCGGAUAACAUUUGGAACCGCAUGGUUCUAAAGUGAAAGAUGGUUUUGCUAUCACUUAUAGAUGGACCCGCGCCGUAUUAGCUAGUUGGAAGGUAACGGCUUACCAAGGCAACGAUACGUAGCCGACCUGAGAGGGUGAUCGGCCACACUGGAACUGAGACACGGUCCAGACUCCUACGGGAGGCAGCAGUAGGGAAUCUUCCGCAAUGGGCGAAAGCCUGACGGAGCAACGCCGCGUGAGUGAUGAAGGGUUUCGGCUCGUAAAACUCUGUUAUUAGGGAAGAACAAAUGUGUAAGUAACUGUGCACGUCUUGACGGUACCUAAUCAGAAAGCCACGGCUAACUACGUG
rnacentral:rRNA from 1 species